rnacentral:rRNA from 1 species
GACGAACGCUGGCGGCGUGCUUAACACAUGCAAGUCGAACGGAAAGGCCUGCUUUCCCUUGUGGAUUGCGGGUACUCGAGUGGCGAACGGGGGAGUAACACGUGAGUGAUCUGCCCCCAACUUGGGUAUAAGCCUGGGAAACUGGGUCUAAUUCCCGAUAGGACUGCAGGGUGGUGCCUGUGGUGGGAAACGAUUUUCUAGUGGGUGGGGAUGAGCUCGCGGCCUAUCAGCUUGUUGGUGGGGUAAUGGCCUACCAAGGCGGCGACGGGUAGCCGGCCUGAGAGGGUGGACGGCCACAUUGGGACUGAGAUACGGCCCAGACUCCUACGGGAGGCAGCAGUGGGGAAUAUUGCACAAUGGGCGGAAGCCUGAUGCAGCGACGCCGCGUGGGGGAUGACGGCCUUCGGGUUGUAAACUCCUUUCGACCGCGAGGAAGCCACCUGGUUGGAAGGGUGGUGACGGUAGUGGUAGAAGAAGCACCGGCUAACUACGUG